GCAGUCAGGCCGCAGCGGGUGCUGAUAUGACCCAGGAUGGGCCAGAGCUUUUCUAGGCAGGCUGGCUGGCGGUGUGUCCACGAAGGGGUCGCCAGGAUUCGUAAUUCAAGAGCUGUGGCUGCAUUGGGUGGGUGCGGCGCGCAGUGGUGGGCACUCACGACGCGCUCAGCACCCGUGACUAGAGCCAAGACAGAAGAGGCGGGAGCCAGACCGUGCUUAGUGUUUUAUUUCAUAAAACAAGCCAUGCAGUCGACCCUCUAACACGUACGAGCAUCCUUCCCGUUCCCACCGCUCCCGUCAGCCUUCAGCCUGCCUUCAGUGUCCUCCAACCUCCAACCCUCGACUUCCCUUGACAAGUCCAUACCUUCCAAACAUCCUAAUAAUGAAUAAAUGUUAAAUAUUGAAUUUUACUAUUACAGAAAGGGGGGCUAGAAAAGUGUUGUUUCACUCGGUGCAGAGGACUGCCACGCCACGCUCGUAGAAGCUGCGAGGGUCUUCCUUGGUGGCAAUUUCAAAGUCCACUGUGAAGAUGAGGUCUGCGCGGGUGAAGUUCAGGUAGACGGGUAAGGUCACCUGCGAGGAGGAGACGGGCGCACGGUCGACGUUGGGCCGAGCGGCGGCCCGGGGGGCGUGGUGAUGGAGGGCUUUAUGCCGAGCUCCCUGACCACGAAGGACGGGACGGAGCCACUUACCACAUUAGCCUUCUUCUCCGCAUUGGUCUGCUUGACCCAGCGCAGCUGUGUUAGAGGAAGGACCGUGGAGAUGGCGUCGAGGGUGGCACUCUGGGAGGUGGUGACGUUGACUUCCAGGCAGAGCUCCUCCAGGGACCAGCUGUUGGCCUGGGCCACGUACUGCCUGGUGGCGGUGAUGUACGCCUCAGGUACAAACAGGCCGCCCAGGCACACGUGGAUGUUCUGUGGGAGGAAGCAGCCCCAGGUGAGGAGUGAGCCCCACGC
rnacentral:lncRNA from 1 species